GCAUAACGCGAAGAACCUUACCAGGCCUUGACAUGCAGAGAACUUUCCAGAGAUGGAUUGGUGCCUUCGGGAACUCUGACACAGGUGCUGCAUGGCUGUCGUCAGCUCGUGUCGUGAGAUGUUGGGUUAAGUCCCGUAACGAGCGCGAACCCUUGUCCUUAGUUACCAGCACGUCAUGGUGGGCACUCUAAGGAGACUGCCGGUGACAAACCGGAGGAAGGUGGGGGUGACGUCGAAGUCAUCAUGGCCCUUACGGCCUGGGCUACACACGUGCUACAAUGGUCGGUACAGAGGGUUGCCAAGCCGCGAGGUGGAGCUAAUCUCACAAAACCGAUCGUAGUCCGGAUCGCAGUCUGCAACUCGACUGCGUGAAGUCGGAAUCGCUAGUAAUCGCGAAUCG
rnacentral:rRNA from 1 species